UCUUGAAAUUAGUACCUGAAAUAUUUUCAAGGGAAAUGAACACUUGUAAGAUAUUUUGGAGCAUAAUCUAUAACUUAAUAUUUUUAAGUAGCUUAAUUUUCUGUUAAAUCUGUGAUUAUUCCAAUAAAGAUAAUAGAUAGACUAAUUAUAAAGAAGAGAUUAAUGGAUUUGAGAUUUGAAAUAAUAGUUUGAAAAUAUUAGACACCAGAUAAACUGCUUGCAAUUUCUAAAUAGCUAUCUUUACUGUACAUGUAACAUGUAAAGGACCAUGGUUUUAUUUGUGUGCAUUUUUUCUAUGCUUUUUUGUUUGUUUAGGCAAAUGACAUAAUUAUUUUCUCAAAGAAUUCAUGAAUUAUUAUUACUCAAAGAAUUAUUUUCUCAAAGAAAAUAAAAUUCACUUUGGAUCUUCUGACUCGUAGUUUAGGAAUAACACAGUGUGGUGUUCAAAUAGAUAGGAAGUGAUUGCCAAAACAAAAUGAAAGUGACUUAAAAACUUCAAACGUCAGCCUGAUGAAUCUUUGUGGUUCUUAGCCUUAUCAUUAUUGCAAUAUAAUUCUGGAUGUUUAAUUGGAGUACGUGUCCCCAACUUUCCCUCAUGCCAUUUGACUUUC
rnacentral:lncRNA from 1 species